CCUACGGGUGGCAGCAGUGGGGAAUAUUGGACAAUGGGGGGAACCCUGAUCCAGCCAUGCCGCGUGUGUGAAGAAGGCCCUCGGGUUGUAAAGCACUUUCAGUGAGGAAGAACGCCUGGUGGUUAAUACCCAUCAGGAAAGACAUCACUCACAGAAGAAGCACCGGCUAACUCCGUGCCAGCGCCGCGGUAAUACGGAGGGUGCGAGCGUUAAUCGGAAUUACUGGGCGUAAAGCGCGCGUAGGUGGCUUGAUAAGCCGGUUGUGAAAGCCCCGGGCUCAACCUGGGAACGGCAUCCGGAACUGUCAAGCUAGAGUGCAGGAGAGGAAGGUAGAAUUCCCGGUGUAGCGGUGAAAUGCGUAGAGAUCGGGAGGAAUACCAGUGGCGAAGGCGGCCUUCUGGACUGACACUGACACUGAGGUGCGAAAGCGUGGGUAGCAAACAGGAUUAGAUACCCCAGUAGUC
rnacentral:rRNA from 1 species